GACGAACGCUGGCGGCGUGCCUAAUACAUGCAAGUCGAACGCAGUGGGGACGGGUGAGUAACACGUGGGUAACCUCCCAUCAGAGGGGAUAACACUUGGAAACAGGUGCUAAACCGAUACUGAUGGAUGGACCCGCGGUGCAUUAGCUAGUUGGUGAGGGAACGGCUCACCAAGGCCACGAUGCAUAGCGGAACUGGUGGGUGGAUGGUCCAACCGGGGACUGUGACACGGCCCAGACUCCUACGGGAGGCAGCAGUAGGGAAUCUUCGGCAAUGGACGAAAGUCUGACCGAGCAACGCCGCGUGAGUGAAGAAGGUUUUCGGAUCGUAAAACUCUGUUGUUAGAGAAGCGGUAUCUAACCAGAAAGCCACGGCUAACUACGUGCCAGCGCCGCGGUAAUUC
rnacentral:rRNA from 1 species